CUAAGUGCGAAGCCAGCCGCAAGAUUAGAACUCCCUUGAGGGUCGUCCGAGACGAGGACGUUGAUAGGGUGCAGGUGUAAAGACGGCGACGUCAAAGCCGAGCACUACUAAUUGCCCGAGACUUUCUUC
rnacentral:rRNA from 1 species